UGGACAGAUUAUUGUAUUCGACUGUAUUCACGGCCUUGUUUUUAAACGGAAAGUGAAUCAAUUAACAUAAUAGACUCCU
rfam:Nicotiana attenuata strain TT chromosome 7, whole genome shotgun sequence.